rnacentral:misc_RNA from 1 species
UCCGAGUUGACCCCGGCAGUCCCCUAUGAGUCCCCGGCCGAGCCGCUGGCAACAUAGGGCGAGGGUUGCGCUCGUUGCGGGACUUAACCCAACAUCUCACGACACGAGCUGACGACAACCAUGCACCACCUGUACACCGCCCUUGCGGACCUGCUGUCUCCAACAGUUUUCGGUGUAUGUCAAGCCUUGGUAAGGUUCUUCGCGUUGCAUCGAAUUAAUCCGCAUGCUCCGCCGCUUGUGCGGGCCCCCGUCAAUUCCUUUGAGUUUUAGCCUUGCGGCCGUACUCCCCAGGCGGGGCGCUUAAUGCGUUAGCUGCGGCGCGGAACUCGUGGAAAGAGCCCCACACCUAGCGCCCAACGUUUACGGCAUGGACUAC